CUGGUUCUGAUAAUUUCUAAUUACAGGCCAUUGUGGAGACAGCCUGUUUUUAAAAUAAGCUUUGCUCUGCCAUCCUAUUUCUUAAUUAAUGGCCAGCAGAAAGAAAAUAUCAUGUUCUCUGUCUACUUAACAAUCUGAAGUGAGUUCAGUGCAUUGAAGUUCAACAACUCAUAGUGAACUGCAUGUCUAAAUAUAUCAUGAAACAUGAGCUUUCACCAGGCAAUAGCAGCAAAGACAUAUGCUUAGCUCUUUCUUUUACAGGCUCUUCUAAAAGGAAAUGAAUAUUGUUGAUUAGGUAACAGUCUGAAUUAAUAAGCAAACACUAACACCAAAUGCUACUUAAUAAUGGUUCACUGGAGAAAUCUGACCAGAAAAGUCUAAAAAACCCUGUUCCUCUUUUAAAGAUCUCAGAAUGGUUUAGGUUGGAAGGGAAACCUGGAGGUCAUCAUGUCCAACCCCGCUGCUCAGUCAGAGGAGUUAUUGGAAGGUAACGCGGUAGCAAAGAAUAAACCUGUGGGUCCUACUGGAACAAUGGUGUGUGCAACUGCAUUGCUUGGCUGUUAGACAGAGACCCUAUUUUGUGAGGGUGCUACUGACUUCAUUCCUGGGACCUGCAAAAUGACUCAGUGAGAAGAGCAACUCUUCUUUCAACCGUGGCUGCAGUUCCAGAACCUGGAUUUGGCUAUAUAGAACAAUGAAUCUUUAAUUUGGUGAGAAAGCACGAGGAGAUUUGGUUCUACCUGAAAUGCACCUUGGAUUCUCCAUUUUCUGGCACCUGGCAGCAAUUUGUAGAAGCACAAACCUGAACUUCUGCAGUACAUCAAGGACAAAACUUUCUUUGUGAUGCUGAGCUAUAUAAAAUUGCUUUAAAAGAGUUUAGAUUAUGAAAUUAACCUAGGAUACCAUAGAAAGAGAAUUCUUACGUUGGAACCAUUAUGGGUUUGUCUGAGGUACUUCUCGCAGUACAACAGAAGAAUACAAAGCUGAUCCCAGUGCUGACAGGACAGUGUUAGUAAAUAGCGUAUAAGUGUAUUUUCAGCUGUGAUUUAGUAGCUAUCAAGGUUGUUAGAAAGUGAGAAGAUGGCACUUAUAAAUCAGUAAUGAUUAUAGUAGGGCAUACUUUGGUUAUAUCUGUGCAAUUAAAUUUAUUUCCUUAGGUAGUUAUAGGUACUUUAAUUUUUACAUUCAUAAGUGCUGGCAGGGAAGCAUGAGGAAGAGACAAAAUUUGAAAGUAGAUAUAGUUUUUGCUGUCCUAAAAUAAAUCCAUUCUCUAGGGGAAUAGCAAAGUAUAUGUAUCCCUUGCCUCUUUGAAUCUGGAUAUGGAAAAGAAUUUAGCCAUUAGCUAGAAAUAUGCAUUCAGAUGCCUCAAAAAAAAAAAAAAAAAGAAAAAAAAGAAAAAAGAAGAAGAAAAGCAAGCAUGCUUGUACUGCAUAAGGAGGGCUUACUGCAAGGAGGGUAAUUUGUUCGGAUUUUCAUAGCUUUGGUUAUAUCCUAAUAGGUAACAUACUUAAAAUUCAUGAGCAAAAAUUCUAGAUAAAAGUGAAUAUUCGCUUUCAAUUAGUUCUUGUUUAGACUGAUUAUAAUAAUUAAAUGUCCAGUUCUUUGACAGACUGAAUUUCCAAGUGAUUACAUUUUGUGACACGUAAUUGUUCCAUAUUAUUGUAGAUGCAUUUCAUACUGUUUUUCCUAUUUGCCUGUUGCAGUUUCUUGUCAUCAGUCUUCAUAAAUAGAACAGUAAGUAGAAGUGAAGCUGUAGCCAGGCUGAUCCCCAGUAUAUCAUUUUGGACUUAGGGUGCAUUAAAACUGACUGAAAUGCAAUGAUGCAGAUGGAUAUCUUGCAGAUGAACUGCCGCUGACCCAGCUACUGAACUCAUUGUUAUGCUUUAUGUAAAUAUGAGGGUAACAAUGUGAAUCUAAUUUUUAUAUAGCUAGAAAAGAAAAAAAGCAAAAGGAAAAAAAAGUAUGUUGUAUUAAUUUAGACCACUGUGCAUAUGCUUUCAGCUUUGUGGGGAAGAUACCAUCAGCCAUGUGAAGCUGUUCAGAAUAAUGAUGCUUAGCUUUUCUAGCUUUUGAUUUGCUGGAGUGAGUGAGAGCUCUCAGCCAGAUAAUUCCACAGAAGUUAGUGGGGGAAGGUCUGGCCCCAUGUUCUUUUUCUUCUGAUUUCUCUGGUUUAGCCCACGUUUGGUUAUGCAUUUGAUGACAGCUGGGAUCAUAGUGGUCAUUGUACUUGGUGAUAAGUAAAAAAGAAGUGUUCUGCUCUAUCCUCAGACAGCUAAACAGUGAUUCUACCUAGCAGACUCUGCUUUCCCUAAUGAGUUCUGCAUUACUGGCAUUUUUCCACUGUUCCAGUUUUCCGAUUAAGUUUUAAUAUUGCCUUUUCUCUUUCUAUUUUUUCUGUAUCUAACUAUUCAAAAUAUCAUCAGUGAAAGUUGUUUUUUUGUUUCCCGUUUGUACAAUGUUGGCCCAAAAUUGGUAUUUAUUUAUUUUGCUAAUUUCUGUAUAUAAAAGCAUAGUAAAAACCAUUGCUGAGGUGUUCUGAUCUAUGUGGAUAAAUGAGAAAUUUAGAGAAAAUUACUACUGGUAAAUACAAGGAAAAACUAUUUAGCAGUGUUCAUGCACCAUAGAUGUGUGGCAGAGCUGAGAAGUGACCCAAACCUUAUUACAUCAGAUUAAGCCUUUCUUGUGGGGAGCAUAUGUUAUCAUGUACAUGACAUGCCUUACAACACCCGCCUGAAAGGGGCAUUCAGUGUCCCUGGGGAAAGGGAAAACCAGAGCAUAAGUUUGAUAGCGUCGGAUUAUGGAAUGCAGCCCACAUGAAUGACUUCCUUCCUAGAUCCUCCGCUGAUGACAAAGAUUUUGUAUUUCUAAAGAAUCUUCAUUCCAGAAGAUCCUGGGAUGAUUUACAGCCUUUUCUGACUCGCUGCACAAAUGCUGUAAUAGAUACCUGUCUCUUUUUGGAGGAUUGCUGUUUCUCCUAAUGCUGUUGUCUGGCAUCUGACACCAGUAUUGCCCUUCUGCUGAAUGAUUGCAAAAUUAAAGCCUUUGCCAGAGGCUCUGUUAGUAGAAGAGAUCAGCAUCCCAGAUUUUUCAUGUGUUCUCUAUGGAAGUGGCUUAGUUGAUGCAUAUCUGCUUCCAGAAGAGCAGCGUUUGUAAGCAGCAUGCUGGCAAUCUCUGCUUACUUCCCACUGUUAAGCUUCUGUGAGGCUACAGCGGGUGGGUUCUUGUGUCCAGGUUUUUGUUCAGGACAGCAUUGCCUGCUGCAAUCUGGUUCAGAGACUGAUCCCCUCCCUCUGUCCUAAAACUGCCAAGUUUUGCCAUACAAUUUCUAACAGAAGGCUGUUGCAGACACUCAAUCCUUUGGUAAAAUAUUACUCUGAUAAGCAGGCUGAGCUAAUUUAUGCCCUGAUUAUACCUAUAUCUCACUUAACUCUGCUCUCUUCUCCCCUCAUUAGUAUGACCCUGAUGUAUUUUCCUUCACUGAGUUGACAUUUCAGUAGACAAACUGCUAUUCACUGCUACUCUAGGCUUGCUUCUUUUCAGCUCAUACCUUCUUGCUGGCAGCGUACGUUCUUACCAGUUCUACCUCAGCGUGUGACCAGAAAGUUUUGCUGCUGAACAUCACCCACUGUUCCUCUCCCAAGCUGAGGUCACAGGGAGUUGCCUGUCCCUGUGCUGAGGACUUCUGUGUGCCCUGAGUCAGAGCCACAGCUGAACGAUCCCAGGACUGACUGAGGAGGAUGUCCAUCGUCUCCCAUUUUGAACAGAAAGUGCCAUUGUUCACUGCUCAGUGAGUUCCUCACCACUGUCCUUAUCUUCCUGAAUUAGACAGGGAAAUCUCUAUGGUAUCAAAAUAAAUAUAUAGAGGAAGAUAUAUGCGUUGAUAUGUAGGUCAAACUAGAUUCAUGGCAUUUUCUUUAUCUAGAAAAUAAAUUAUCUUAAUAGAAAUCCUUGCAAGGUUUCUCUUGCGUCUUACAACUCUGUUAAAUCCAUGAUGGAUUUGAUUCCAUUUUCCUCUAACUCUGUUAUCUUCAAGGAUUUCUGUUAGAAUUGGUACCUGAAGAGAGUGAAUAAAUUUUUUACAUUUGCUGUAUUUUUUUUUCAAAGAGUUAGCUCAUAACAAACCUACUACAAUAGAAAAUGUCUUUAAAGAAUAGCAGUUUGCUUGCAGACCAAGC
rnacentral:lncRNA from 1 species